CAGGAAGUGCAGAUUGACGUCAGGCUUGGGUGCCACUGACUGGCUAAAGUCAGCUGCCACUCUAAGCCAAUUGCUAGCUCCUGGUUAAAUUUUUUUUUACAUUUUUUAUGAAUGGGGAGUUACUGAUUGGCUUAGAGUGCCAGCUGACCGCUCUAGCCAAUCAGCGACACCCCUACCCAACAGCACUCUGUAGUUCCUG